GUGCUGAAUCCAAAAUCAUAUUUAGGAUCUGUUCAUGCUCUACAACUAUUUGCAACUUUCAAUACUAUCUAUCGAAGUUGAGUCCUAUAAAUAAGUCACUAUCAAAUAGUAAAUGGAGCAACAGACAUCUAGCCAUAACUGAAAGAAAAACACAAGACUUCUAUGUUUUAUGAAUUGAUUAACACUAAAAACUUGGACUUUAGUCUAAAGAUUCUCCCAUUAUUUUAUAUGAAUUGAUAGCCUCUAUCUUCAAUUCGAAGAAUUAUCUUAAUUUCUUAGCGGGUACUAGAAUCCACACACAUUGCAUACAGGCCCA
rnacentral:lncRNA from 1 species